rnacentral:tRNA from 1 species
GCGCUCAUAGCUCAGUGGAUAGAGCGCAACCCUCCGGAGGUUGAGGCCGCAGGUUCAAAUCCUGCUGAGCGCG